rnacentral:lncRNA from 1 species
CUGGGGGCAGAACACUCCAGGCUGCUGCAUCUUCGUGCCCAGCCAGACUCCACACAUCCCGAGAGGUCGCUUAAAGCGAGGGAACGUUCUCUUAGCUUGGGAUGAAAGAGUCCUCCUGGAAAGUGUGCCAUGCAGGAUCUUGGUUUGAAUGGCUCUCCUGCCAUGACCCUUCCGUCUAGCAGAUUACCAAAUGCUCGCUGGCUGCAGGUGAUGGCACCUGCAGUGAGGACCACAAAAGUGGGGUAUCUGUGCCCAUGGCUAGAAAACAGGGGCCCUGAGGAUGCCCCAGGAAGAGUGCCCUUCAGGAUCCAAAUCUGGGUCAAGUUGCUUCUAUGGUGAAAUCAUUUGCUGUCGUCUUCUUAAUGUGCUUAGAAAGGAUAAAGGCACUUUCCUGGGCAAGCAGGCCGGUGCGCGCCCACCCCGUGUGGCUUUUCUUCAUUUUAUCUGGACCACUCUCCCUUGACUGCCAAACUCCAACUGAGUGUCAGGCUCCCCAGUUCCCUACCUGCCUGUCAUCCUUCUCCACCAUCGCUCCGCAGGCUCUCUGCACAUCCCUGUCACUCUCUCUGGGCUUUCCUCGAGUCUGCUGUUUGUAUGCCCGGCUCUUUCACAUUCUCUGGCCUCAGCUGCUGAAAGGCCCAGCUCCAUCUUUCUCCAGAGAAAAGCUCUACCUUCUCUAUAUCAGCAUCCCUUUGAGAGAUCCUAUAAACACAUAGUUAUCUGUCAUCUAUCCCUGCAGCGGCUCUGAUGCCUCAGCCCCAGGAUUCAGAGAACUGUCCAUUUACACACGCCAGUGUUCUCAGUGUCCAAGCACAAAGAGGCUUGGGAGAGCUCACGGCUGGUUGGUGUGGGGAAGGAGGCAAUCACAUUCCUGGGAGGCUGAGAAUGCAGGGGAGAUAGUAGGUCGAGGAAGGACCCUGCAAAGCUUGCUAGCUUUCUACAGAAGCCGAACCCUCCAUGGGACAACACCACGUGGAUACAUGUGUGGUGGUGCAGGCUGGGAGUUCACCAUUUCACUUGGGCCUGGGACGUACGUCAGCUCCAUAGGCAUCUGCCCCACCCUGCCAUUCUUCAUCACCCAUCCUGAGGUCACGCAGAUGAAAACAUUUCUGAACUAUGAUGAAAGAGCCUCAGGACAGGCUACUUGGCUGUCCUUGUUGACCUGUGACCUAUGACCUGUGACCUGUGACAAUAAUGUUUGAAUAAUAUGAGUAUAUUGUUUAGAGAAUGUGACCAACAGGAGGGGCUAAGAGAUGACUUGACUUAGCUGCGUGAAGGAAGGAGAGGGGCGGAGGACUCCCGAGAGGCUGCUGCUGCCCAGGUCAAAGGUCAUCAGCUAAGCGUCAGGUAGACAAGAACAGAAUUCAGCUGGUUUCAAUGUGGGGAUUAACGUAACCCAAGUGAGCAAUCUACUCUUCUGCAUGGAGAAUACUCUCAGGUGCGUUGUUUAGACGUGUUGUCUCCAGAUAGAGCUGUUCCACCCAGAUGGGAGCAAGGAUCGCCACACAAGGGAAAAUACAGACCUCCCAGUCGCCCCCUGUGGGUGGAGCUAUAGACUCAGUAAACACUGGCCUGGCAGAGGAGACUUCUCGGUGGAGCUGCCUCCAGGUUGUGCUGGAGACUUGGGAGUACAGCCUUUCUGAGUGCUCACCUAUGCCAACGGGACGGCAGGGGCUUUAUGGUUAUGCAGCGGUUCAUGUUAUGUAGCGGCCUGUGAGUAGCCUCCCAUCCAUGCUCCUGUCGCUGACCCCAAUAAAUUCGUCGGUUCAGCUCGAUUUGGGCAGACUGUUUCUUUGGUGGCCCAUUGUCC